rnacentral:rRNA from 1 species
AUUGAACGCUGGCGGCAGGCUUAACACAUGCAAGUCGCACGAGUGGCGGACGGGUGAGUAAUGCUUGGGACUCUAGCUUAUGGCGGGGGAUAACUACGGGAAACUGUAGCUAAUACCGCGUACCAUAGGGUGAGCCGAAGUGGGAUUAGGUAGUUGGUGAGGUAAAGGCUCGCCAGGCCGACGAUGUCUAGCUGGUCUGAGAGGAUGACCAGCGACCCUGGGCCUGAGCCACGGCCCAGACCCAUACGCGAGGCGGCGGUGGGGAAACGUCGACAAUGGAAGAAACGUGACCGAGCCACGCCGAGUGAGGGAAAAAGGUCUGCCGAUCGUAAUUGUCUGUUGUUAGAGAACAGGUACCGCAUGAAUAAGCCCCGGCUAAAUCCGUGCCAGCAGCCGCGGUAAUAC